GAUGAACGCUAGCUACAGGCUUAACACAUGCAAGUCGAGGGGCAGCGGGAUUGAAGCUUGCUUCAAUUGCCGGCGACCGGCGCACGGGUGAGUAACGCGUAUCCAACCUUCCGUACACUCAGGGAUAGCCUUUCGAAAGAAAGAUUAAUACCUGAUGGUAUGAUGAGAUUGCAUGAUAGCAUCAUUAAAGAUUUAUCGGUGUACGAUGGGGAUGCGUUCCAUUAGGUAGUAGGCGGGGUAACGGCCCACCUAGCCGACGAUGGAUAGGGGUUCUGAGAGGAAGGUCCCCACAUUGGAACUGAGACACGGUCCAAACUCCUACGGGAGGCAGCAGUGAGGAAUAUUGGUCAAUGGACGAGAGUCUGAACCAGCCAAGUAGCGUGAAGGAUGAAGGUCCUACGGAUUGUAAACUUCUUUUAUACGGGAAUAAAGUUUACCU
rnacentral:rRNA from 1 species